rnacentral:misc_RNA from 1 species
CGAUCGAUUGAUCGUUGGCAAUGCCGACAAUGAGGCCCUUCUUGCCUUUCAGGGCGACCUUGCUAUCCGGGAAUACGGGAAUCAUGAAACCUUCUCCUGUCUGACACUGGACGAUGGUCUGUUCGCCAACAGCGACAAUGUGUGCUGCGCGAUCAUGAGUUCCUCGUCAGUCGGUAUGACGUAGACUGGAAUCCGGCUUUCAGAACCCGAUAUCAGACGCGCAUGGCGAGAAUUUUCCGCUGGAUCG